CAGUCUGUAGUCGAAGUCGCGUAUUCGGGCCAAUAGUAAUCGUGCGGUGCCUUUGAGAACACGGUACGGUCUCUCGCUAGCCUCGACUCUGGUGGUGCGUUUUCACACGUCACGUCGGAAUCGAGAAGGGCAAGGAAAGGAAACAAGGAAGCACAACAUCGACAGUCACAUUGGAGCGUGGCGUCGGCUGGAAAGUAAAAACAAAUCGUAGCGAGUCGACGUGAGAGCGCUGUCGCGAAGGGACCGAGGUACACGAGAGCGGACAAGUUCGGACAGGAUCCCUAGCGCCUCGUACUCGUCAGUCGCGUCUCUGUUUCCGUGCUAUCGUGUUCGAAAGUAGCAGAGAAGCUGCAACUCUUUUUCGGUACCAGGAUUCCGCAGCGGGAGCCGCGCAAGACGAGCACGAUGCCCUCAGAUAGCAUGGACGACAUCGAGCUGAAAAACAUUCAGCUGCAAUUUCCACCGCUGAGAUGUCUAUCGAGAGACGACAGCUCGGUGCGAGAAGAGAGGGUGGAAACUGACAAAGGGAGUCUGCUGGUGGCCAUCCAAGGGAACCGAGCGAAACCUGCCAUUCUCACUUAUCACGACUUAGGCCUUAAUUAUAUAUCGAGCUUCCAGGCGUUCUUCAAUUACAUCGACAUGAGAAUUUUACUCGAGAAUUUCUGCGUUUAUCAUGUGAAUGCACCGGGACAAGAAGAGGGUGCAUCCACGCUGCCUGAGGACUACGUCUAUCCGUCCAUGGAUGAGCUGGCUGAACAGCUGCUCUUCGUACUGGGCCAUUUUGGCCUGAAAUCCGUAAUUGGUUUUGGAGUCGGUGCCGGGGCCAACAUACUAGCCAGAUUUACACUUGCUCAUCCCGAGAAGGUCAAUGUUCUGUGCUUGAUUAACUGCGUAUCGACGCAGGCAGGCUGGAUCGAAUGGGGCUAUCAGAAGCUGAACGUUCGUCACCUGAGGUCGCAAGGCAUGACUCAAGGAGUAUUGGACUAUCUGAUGUGGCAUCACUUUGGCAGGGGCACGGAGGAGAGGAACCACGACCUAGUCCAGGUGUACAAGAACUACUUCGAGCGUCGCGUGAAUCCAACGAAUCUAGCGCUAUUAAUCGACAGCUACAUCCGUCGUACAGACCUGAACAUCACGAGGGAGUUAGAUCCGACGCGUAAGAAGGAAGGUCUGACGCUUGGUGUACCUGUGAUGAAUAUCACCGGAGCUUUGAGCCCACACGUCGAUGACACCGUGACGUUAAAUGGACGAUUAGACCCGAUGAAUAGCUCUUGGAUGAAGAUAUCCGACUGCGGAAUGGUACUGGAGGAGCAACCAGGCAAAGUUAGCGAGGCAUUCCGACUGUUUCUGCAGGGCGAAGGAUAUGUGGUGAGAUCCCCGCGGAAGCCCGUGACGCCGACAACACCCGAAGGUAAUUGUAAUUAGGAAUUGAAGGCCGCAAGGAGUCAAGCGCGCAGUUGGUCAGUUAGGCCACGUCUAUGUGUUAAUGGCACCACUAUCACCGCUGAAAAUGGCUGACUUCAGACUGGCUUCCCUCGAGGGACUGAAUCACGUUUGCAGUAAGAAAAUCGACUGGCCCACCGCGACUAUACACAUCACCGAGAAUCCCAUAUCGGAGGCAGUCGUUUGUUAAAUUUUUCUCGAUAAAUCUCGCAAUUGACGUUGAUUGUUUUCGAAUGACAAAGCAUGCAGGAACUCGAAAAAAAAAACAAAAAAAAAGAAAAAGAAAAAGAACGAGGGAAAAGAACGGAAAUGAAAACCACGCGAAUCGAACAUCGAUUUCUUCAAGGUUUCGUCGGGGCAACGAUCGACGUGGCUCUAACUCCUAAUUUUCAUUUAUCAAACUAGCAUUGUAUUCGAUUAUUAGUUUUAAAUGUAUUCUCACCUUCAUCAAUAUGUUUGCACUUAAGUUCGCUCUACUUUUUUUUUUAUUUAUGGUAACGUCUAAGAUGUUUUAGGAACGGAACAAACGUUCACGAUGGUACGAGAUACCUAAGCAGCGAUCAUACUGCACACGUUUCUCUUGUUUCUUGUUAGCGGUAGAUUAGGUUAGGAUCGAUAGCGUUUAUUUCAAAUGCAACAAGGAUUUUAUCGUUCCGAUCGACAGAUACGUUGAAAACCGGCGAUUCUCGUUCACGAGACUUUUAAAUAUUCGCUGCGAUUCGAAAUUCAACCGCGGAUUCACUUUUUAAAUGCCGAAGCAAACGCGACGAUUUUUACUGUUGUAACCUACGGUACCUUUGUUCAGCGGAACAGCGUAUUUUUUUAAAGUUUCAACGAUCGUUAUAGCGCCGUCAGAACGGCGGCCAUUUUAAUAACAGAAUUCGCCAUUAAGAAUGCGUUCCGAUAAAUUACAUCCGACGCGUCGAAACCCAACAACCAUCGCAUUCAUCGAUACUCGCGUACGAUGCUCGUACAAUGUCAGAGAACAACGAAAUCGUGAUUUUACUUAACAGCGACAUUCACGGGGAUCCAAGACUACGAAAGAUGGGGGAAAAUGCGAAAAAACGAAUAAAUAAAAAUAAAAGCAGCGUCGCAACGAUGAACUCGAGAGAGAGAGAGAGAGAGAAAGAGGGAGAGUACACGAGCAAGAGGAGACGAAGAUUUACCUUGGAAAUGGCGCGAAAAAUACAAUUUGUUCUCGGGUACACGCGGAUCGUUGAUCACGGCUCGAUGACGGAUCGACGAUGACAACGAUCGGAAACGAGGUUCGAUCGACGAUUCUAAAAUAUUAAUUACUCGAAUCGACGCGCAAAAGUCGGGUGGCGUUGAAUAAAAAAUACUUAAAAGAAAAACGAAAAAAAAGAAAAAAAAACAAAAAUAACGAACAUGUGUGGUAGCACUGCAUCGUAGAGAAGCGCGCACUAUUGCUUUCCGUGUUCAUAAGGAGAGACGAGAAACGAGCCUGGUAGGUGCAGAAUCAAGGGAAUCAAGUUCGUGGAAAGAGCAUUACGCACAUACGGGCAGAUCCAUUCGCGUAG
rnacentral:misc_RNA from 1 species